rnacentral:rRNA from 1 species
UACAGAGGUCUCGAGCGUUGUUCGGAUUCAUUGGGCGUAAAGGGCGCGUAGGCGGCGGGGUAAGUCUGGUGUGAAAUCUCGGAGCUCAACUCCGAAAUUGCACUGGAUACUGCUCUGCUAGAGGGUUGGAGAGGAGAUCGGAAUUCACGGUGUAGCAGUGAAAUGCGUAGAUAUCGUAAGGAAGACCAGUGGCGAAGGCGGGUCGCUGGACAGUUCCUGACGCUGAGGCACGAAGGUCAGGGGAGCAAACGGG